GUAGGGAGCAAGCGUUGUCCGGAUUUACUGGGUGUAAAGGGUGCGUAGGCGGCUUUGCAAGUCAGAUGUGAAAUCUAUGGGCUCAACCCAUAAACUGCAUUUGAAACUGUAGAGCUUGAGUGAAGUAGAGGCAGGCGGAAUUCCCCGUGUAGCGGUGAAAUGCGUAGAGAUGGGGAGGAACACCAGUGGCGAAGGCGGCCUGCUGGGCUUUAACUGACGCUGAGGCACGAAAGCGUGGGUAGCAAACAGGAUUAGAUACCCUGGUAGUCCACGCUGUAAACGAUGAUUACUAGGUGUGGGGGGUCUGACCCCUUCCGUGCCGGAGUUAACACAAUAAGUAAUCCACCUGGGGAGUACGGCCGCAAGGUUGAAACUCAAAGGAAUUGACGGCCGUCAAUUCCUUUGAGUUUGCUGGUAUUACCGCGGCUGCUG
rnacentral:rRNA from 1 species